UCACCCACAUCCACAUUCCACUAACUAUACUCCACUCACUCAUACACUAUAAUCUAUAUAGUAUAAAUACACCAACAGUAAAAAAGAAGAAGAAAAAUCAUCAACCAAAAGAGACCCACACACACGGACAAAGAGAGAAUUAGUAAAAAACAAAAAAAAACCCUAUACAUACAAACAUACAUACAUGCACAAAACAAAAAAAAAAACCACUCCCACCAAAAGAACACGUCAAAAAUGAUUAAAAAACAAA
rnacentral:lncRNA from 1 species